rnacentral:lncRNA from 1 species
GCUGGCCAUUAUUUUUUCCCCUGAAUCAUAUACCUAGAAAGCUGGAGAAUGGGAGGUUUCUUGAGUUAAUAGUAAAAAUCAUAAUUCGAAUUCAUGGUUGGGAAAGUCCUUUAUAAGCAUUAUCCCAGUCAAGCUUCCAAUUUCUCCUCUUCCUGACGUCUGGAGUCAGGCAGGACAAGGCUGAUCCCUUCUCCCCUAAUAGCCCCUCACACACUGAAGACAGCCAUCAUAAGCCCUGAAUUGCCCUCUCUUCCCCCCUUCCCACUUCCCAAAGAAGGAGUGGGAAAGCCAAAUUGUGGGAGGACUGACUGGCUGGGAUCGGUGGGCAGCCGCUUCUCUCCAGUUCCUCAGAUGCAGCCUCUCACCCUCUCACCCCAGAUGAGGAAACUGAGAUUCAAAGAGGGAAGGUGAUUUCCCCCAGGUCCCCCAGAAGAGCUGGACUUCACACUCAAGCUUCCUGCAAGAAAGAACAGUUCUUGAAUCAGCUGGUGUACGUGCUAAAGAAGAACAUCAAGGUUCCAUAGGGAUAUGGCUUAAUCCAGUACUUGCCACCAUGAUGCCUCCCGAGACUAUCUCUCCUAAUGAGGUUGUAAGCAGGACCCAGGACCCUGUAGGAUACCUGCCUUCCCCAAAGGGGCCUAUGAUCUAGGAGAGGUUUCUGGAUGGGGGAAAUCUUUGUGUCCCCCCUUCCAAAUCAAAGCAGGAAGAAGAACACCUAUUCUGCCUUCAGGUAAG